GUGAACAAAGAAUUAAAUUGUCAGCCAGUGACAUCCCAAUUAUUCCACAUCAGAUAGUUAUGACUAGAUGUGAGGGUAUAUAACCUUGAUUACGCUAGACAUAAUAAUUUUGGGCCGGUGGUUUGGGCUCAACGACUUAUUAUUGCUAGUGGAUUGGAUCGUUAUAUUUGGUAUCAGAGUCGGUUCACCAGUCGGAAGUAUAAGAUGGGUCUUGUCUUAGUCAGGAUCAGAAGAUUUUGGGCUGUGUUAAUAGUCCCACAUCGGAUAGUUAUGGUUAGAUGCGGAGGUAUAUAAGCUUGAUUAGGCCCAAUAGUCCUACAUCGGAAUAGUUAUGGCUUGACAUAAUAAUUAAGCUUAAGUAUUUUAGGGAGUUAUUAUUGCUAGCGGGUUUUUGGUUGGCCUUGUUGGCUUAAAUGGGCCAGCAUCCUGCCCUGUGGCGGGAGGCCAUGUGGGCCGAGUCAUGUUCGAAAUGGCGUGAGGCUGGAUUGGGUCGAGUCAUGUUCGAAGUGGCGUGAGGCCAGGUGGGCCGAGUCACAAUCGAGACCCGUGGGCGCUGUUUCUGUACGCUUUAAGUGAAUUGGUUGCGUAUUUCUAACAGCUCGAGCCUUUGGGAUUAAUGGUUAGCGCCAAUGAUCCGACAAGUGGUUUGGCUUAAAUGGGCCAGCAUCCUGCCCUGUGGCGGGAGGCCAUGUGGGCCCAGUCAUGUCCGAAAUAGCGUGAGGCUUGGUUGGGCCGAGUCAUGUUCGAAGUGGCGUGAGGCCAGGUGGGCCGAGUCAUAAUCGAGACCCAUGGGCGCUGUUUCUGUAUGCUUUAAGUGAAUUGGUUGCGUAUUUCUAACGGCUCGAGUUUUUGGGAUUAAUGGUUAACGCCAACGAUCCGACAGGCCUAAAAUCCAAAUAAUUGAAAUUUGUAAUAGAGAGAGGGUAGGAAUGUCGAUUGAGCCAAAUAAUUGAAAUUUGAGUUGAAAAAUUUAACUCGUAUUUGGUUCGUUUAUUAAAUGUGUGAAAUAUUCGAGUAUUUAGCCGAUUGCUCAUAUUCGGCUCAUUAAGAUUUUGAGCUGAAAAAUUCAGUUUGUACUCGAUUCGAUUAUUAAAUCAAUCUCCCACUCAUUUCCUACCGAACAAGAGUUAUCUUGCGAAUAGCGAGCUAGAUCGUCAGCCCUAAAUAGAAUAAAUUAAAUAAAUUUAAAAAUAAUAAAUCUAGACAAAGUA
rnacentral:lncRNA from 1 species